GGUAACAAAAGUACCCAAAAUAUUUUGUCAUUAGGUAUUUUUUGGAUAUUGUGAAUAUGUUUUUGUUUCAGAUUUUCGGUUAUAGUUUUGAGUUUCGAAUAAAAUUUCAAAAUUUUAAAAAAUAUAUUUUGGGUAUGUGGAUAAAGUUUAGGUAUUUUUGGUUUUUAUGGUCAUGUUAAUUUUUUGGAUUUUUUUUGGAUAUUUGAAUAUUUUUAGGUAGUUUUGAG
rnacentral:lncRNA from 1 species